AGACGUGGCCGACGCGGGUCAAAGUGUAGCAUUUGUUCUUAUCAGCUUAAUAUCUGAUACGGGUUCUAUUUGGACCCAAUAUAUUACGCUUAUUAUUGCAAGGCGGUGGAGUGCUUGAAGCCUACUUCACCUCCGCCGCGGGUCGGCGCGGUAUUGCACCAUCUUCGGAAUCGGCUCACGGUUU